AAUCUGUAGUUCCUUUGAUUUUUCCCAUGAUAAUGUUGGGGUUUUGUGGUUGCUUUUGCUUUUAUUCUCCUGAUUUUUUUUCUUUUUUUCCUUUAUUUGAAAAUUCUUUUUUAGGGACCAAUGGGACCUCCAGGACAACCAGGGCUUCCUGGACAGAUUGGGAUUCCAUUUGAAAGACCUGUUAAUUUGAAGCUACAAGCCCUGGGGUCAAAUCCUGACUGCAGUUAAAGGUAAGUUGCUUUCCUUGUCUCUCCUUUCCUUGUUUUCUGUACUUCUAAAACCAGAGUUGUAGUAAAGGGCCCCUAAAGUUCCCUCUAACAUUAUUGUUCAAUAAAGCAUAAUUUGUCACCA
rnacentral:lncRNA from 1 species